CUGUAGUUGUGCUUCCAACUGUCGGCUUGGCAGUCGAAGGCUUCUGGGUGCUAGGCUGAGCUGUAGUUGUGCUUCCAACUGUUGGCUUGGCAGUCGAAGGCUUCUGGGUGCUAGGCUGAGCUGUUGAGGUACUUCCGAUAGUUGGCUUGGCAGUCGAAGGCUUCUGGGUGCUCGGCUGAGCUGUAGUUGUGCUUCCAACUGUUGGCUUGGCAGUCGAAGGCUUCUGGGUGCUAGGCUGAGCUGUUGAGGUACUUCCGAUAGUUGGCUUGGCAGUCGAAGGCUUCUGGGUGCUAGGCUGAGCUGUAGUUGUGCUUCCAACUGUUGGCUUGGCAGUCGAAGGCUUCUGGGUGCUAGGCUGAGCUGUUGAGGUACUUCCAACUGUCGGCUUGGCAGUCGAA
rnacentral:sRNA from 1 species